rnacentral:rRNA from 1 species
GACGAACGCUGGCGGCGUGCUUAACACAUGCAAGUCGAACGAAGUGGCGAACGGGUGAGUAACGCGUAAUCAACCUGCCCUUCAGAGGGGGACAAAAGUUGGAAACGACUGCUAAUACCGCAUACUGAAGGAGGGGAUUGCGUCUGAUUAGCUAGUUGGCGGGGUAACGGCCCACCAAGGCGAUGAUCAGUAGGCGGUCUGAUAGGGGGAACCGCCACAACGGGACUGGGACACGGCCCAGGUCCCUACGGGAAGGAGCAGUGGGGAAUAUUGCCAAAUGGGCGCAAGCCGGAGGCAGCCAUGGCGCGGUUAUGAAGAAGGCCUUCGGGUUGUGAAGCUUUGUUAAUCGGGACGCGGUACCGGAUUAGAAAGCCACGGCUAACUACGUGCCAGCCGCCGCGGUAAUAC